GAGAAUCCAAAACUGGUGCUGAUGAAGACUUAGUGCCAUGAAUAGACCAGAAGCCGCUGAACAAUUUACUUCAAAUGGAAAAUGUGCAGACGGUAUGAGUUCUAAUGAGGAUACAGCUAGCCUACUUACCGGACAUGACAUGGUCUCUUGAAGGAUCUGAUAACAGCAUAGUACAUAGACUAUUCAUGGGAGAAAUAUGAACUAGGAAGACAGCCCGGCCAACAACAUGAAUGUGUGGGAGCAUACAGCCAAGUCUGUCACUUGUGAAUCCAGUGACACAUUCACCUCCCCCACAGCUGAGGCUCUAGGCAUAUGCACUGUGCUCGGUGUCUCUCUAGGUCUCAGGUGCUGUGUACUUCUCCAGCUUUGGCUGCUCAGUGCUGGAGACCCUGACAGGCCUAUUGGAAGAGGCAAUCAAAGUAACAGAGAAUGGAAGAUCUGCCAGAUGGACUCGAUGCCAAGAAAGAUGCCUGAGGGCAAUCAUUCUACAGGCAUGGGAAGAUGAGAACCACAUCACACUGUUCAAAUGUUCCCUUCCCAGAGGUUCCCAAAUUAUUUGCACAAAAGACCUUGUCACCCAGUAGGAAGGAGCUCCUGGAAACCUGGCUUUUCUGAGACAAGACAGCAUGGUGCCCAAUGCCUGGGCUUUGGAGUGAGGCCAGCAUGAGCUGGAAACCCAAGUCUACUCUUCAUAGGAGUUGAUUUUAGUCCUUUGCAUCUCCGUGUUCUGAACCUUGAACCUUAAACUUGAAACUUGAACCUUAAAUGAAGCAUAAAACCUGUUCGAAUUAAAGUAGGGGGAAAAUGGCAACAUAUUCGUUCAGCAGGAGUUCUAGAGCUGGGAGGAUGAGAAAUUCACAACAUACAAAGUGCAGUUGUGCACAGUAAUACAGACAAGGGCUUUCCACAGUCGGAACUCCAUUUAGAGCUGCAGCUCUUCGUUGCUGACUCUUCUAAUACAGAUGUUUGGGGCGUGAUGUAAACUCGGAACCAUCCUCCUGUCAGCUCAGCAGACAAGACAAACAGAAGUCUGAUCUUGAAACCAGGGCCUCUCCAUGAACCAGCUGACACAAGCGCAGUGGUACUUCACCCCACAUCAAGAUCUUAAUAAACAAGCCUCACUGGUCAGCAUAUUGCUAUGGCAGAUUUAAAGUGAAGCCCACACUUUCUUUCCCCUUUCCAAGUCUGCAGCUUUUUGCACAAAGCGAGGCCUCAGUUCACAGAAUGUAAGGAGUGUGAGCGGGGGUGGGGGUGGGGAAGCUUCUCUCUCUAUGCCAUGGUUUAUAUGCCAUGACGGAGCCACAGGGCGAAGGCAUUAAACAGUGGGCUG